AUACCAGCAGAGUAGUUAUUCACAUAGCAGUCAAGAUGGAUCAUCCAAAGGUCUUGGUACUCCUCUCCAGUCUUUCUCUACUGUUCUUAGCUUUUAGGAUGUUGUGGACAGAAUUGCACACUUUCUGGGAUGGCAUGCCUGCUUCUUGACUGUCGGCUUAAGAGCCUUGCCAGGAAAGCUAACAGCAGGAAAUGCUGCUGGAUAACUCAUUCACAGGAGUUCUGUAGGCAAAGAGCAUGGUUGACAAAUUCCCACAGAUUUCAUGCAAGCUGCAGGAUAACUGAAGUUUUUAUUGUUCAUGUUUUCCCUUCUUCCCUAAGUACUGGAGGUCCUAGCUCCUGAGCUUC